CUCACCUCGGAUCCUUUCAGAUAGAAAAAUGCACAUUUGUCGGUGGUGGAUGGACACACACACACACACACACACACAACCUCCCCUCCUGUCCAGUACUUGAAAGCACAGAAGGUUCCAGAAGCUUAAUUAAAUGCAACUGAGGCGGCCGGAGCGUUCGAUACAGUUUGUUCACCUGAAAAAAUAAACGGAGAAUCUGGAGGAAGAGGAGGAGGAGGAGGAGGAGGAGGACUGCGGUGGAGAGAGCUGGGAAAAAUGCAAGGUCAGAGGAUUAUACACCAAGACACCAAUCAGCCUACUACACAUCUACCAUCAGUGGAGGAAACCGGAGAACCCAGAGGAAACCCCAAAGCACAGGGAGAACACAAGGUCGAAUCAGGAAUUGAACCUCAACCUUGGAGGGAUGUUCAGUGCUUCAACUCACCAUGUUUCCCUUAAGUAAGGCGGGGGUAGCUCAAGUGGUUAAGGAUCUGGGUUUUUGACCAGAAGAUCGGGGUUCAAGCCCCAACACUGCCAAACUGCCACUGCUGGGCCCUUGAGCAAGACCCCCAACCCACCCUGCUCCAAGGUCGCUGUAUCAUAGCUGACCCUGUGCUCUGACCCCAUCCCCAAAGGAUGGUAUAUGCG